CGGGAUGAAGACUACUCCCCAGACCGAGGCAAGUCUCGAGAUGACGACAAUUCCUUUAGCAGACC
rnacentral:ncRNA from 14 species